rnacentral:sRNA from 1 species
GUUCCGGACGCGGCCGCCGCCGUCGCCGCCAUCUGUCACCUCUACUCCGGCAUCAGCAGCCAGUCGCCCCUGCCCCGCCUGUCUCCUCGGCGGAGCCUGCUGCCAGUCCUGCCACCUCUCUGCUCUGUUCUUGUCUCUGCCUUCAUCCUCGAAUGGAUCUGGUAGGAGUGGCAUCGCCUGAGCCCGGGCCGGCAGCGGCCUGGGGACCCAGCAAGUGUCCAUGGGCUAUCCCUCAAAAUACAAUAUCUUGUUCUUUGGCUGAUGUAAUGAGUGAACAGCUGGCCAAAGAAUUGCAGUUAGAAGAAGAAGCUGCCAUUUUUCCUGAAGUUGCUGUUGCUGAAGGACCAUUUAUUACUGGAGAAAACAUUGAUACUUCCAGUGACCUUAUGCUGGCUCAGAUGCUACAGAUGGACUAUGACAGAGAAUAUGAUGCACAGCUUAGGCGUGAAGAAAAAAAAUUCAAUGGAGAUAGCAAAGGUACUAUAACCUUAUUGUGACAACCUCAUUGAGUGGUAGAAAACACUCAUAACGUGCUCCUAAGUAAAUUUUCAACUAUUUUUGCUUCUUAAGUUUCCAUUUCCUUUGAAAAUUAUCGAAAAGUGCAUCCUUAUGAAGACAGCGAUAGCUCUGAAGAUGAGGUUGACUGGCAGGAUACUCGU